rnacentral:rRNA from 1 species
GAUGAACGCUGGCGGCGUGCCUAAUUCAUGCAAGUCGAGCGAAUGGAUUAAGAGCUUGCUCUUAUGAAGUUAGCGGCGGACGGGUGAGUAACACGUGGGUAACCUGCCCAUAAGACUGGGAUAACUCCGGGAAACCGGGGCUAAUACCGGAUAACAUUUUGAACCGCAUGGUUCGAAAUUGAAAGGCGGCUUCGGCUGUCACUUAUGGAUGGACCCGCGUCGCAUUAGCUAGUUGGUGAGGUAACGGCUCGCCAAGGCAACGAUGCGUAGCCGACCUGAGAGGGUGAUCGGCCACACUGGGACUGAGACACGGCCCAGACUCCUACGGGAGGCAGCAGUAGGGAAUCUUCCGCAAUGGACGAAAGUCUGACGGAGCAACGCCGCGUGAGUGAUGAAGGCUUUCGGGUCGUAAAACUCUGUUGUUAGGGAAGAACAAGUGCUAGUUGAAUAAGCUGGCACCUUGACGGUACCUAACCAGAAAGCCACGGCUAACUACGUGCCAGCCGCCGCGGUAA